AUAUUUUCCAGAAGAUCUGCUAAAGGCAAUUUUUAACAUCAAAUUCUUAGCUAGAUUGGAUUCUCAACUUGAAAUUUUAUCUCCAUCUCGAAGUGCAAGAGUCCAGUUUCAUCUUAUGGAGUUAAAUAGAUCAGUCUGCUUGGAAUGCCCUGAGUUUCAGAUUCCAUGGUUUCAUGACCGCUUCUGUCAACAAUAUAAUAAAGAUUUUGAGUGUAUCUUGGAUAAAAGAAAAAAACCUCUUCCGUAUGGAAGCCAUAAUAUAGCACUGGGACAACUACCAGAAAUGCCCUGGGAAUCAAAUAUCGAAAUAGUUGGAUCAAGGCUGCCACCAGGGGCUGAAAGGAUUGCUUUGGAAUUUUUGGAUUCAAAAGCACUUUGUAGAAAUAUCCCUCACAUGAAAGGAAAAUCUGCUAUGAAAAAACGACAUUUGGAAAUUCUGGGGUAUCGUGUAAUUCAGAUUUCCCAGUUUGAAUGGAACUCUAUGGCACUGUCAACAAAGGAUGCUCGGAUGGACUACCUGAGAGAAUGUAUAUUUGGAGAAGUCAGGUCAUGUUUGUAGUUUUUAUUUAAAAUGAAUGUUAUCAUGUGUUA
rnacentral:sRNA from 1 species